rnacentral:rRNA from 1 species
AGUGAACGCUGGCGGUAGGCCUAACACAUGCAAGUCGAACGGCAGCACAGUAAGAGCUUGCUCUUACGGGUGGCGAGUGGCGGACGGGUGAGGAAUACAUCGGAAUCUACUUUUUCGUGGGGGAUAACGUAGGGAAACUUACGCUAAUACCGCAUACGACCUACGGGUGAAAGCAGGGGAUCUUCGGACCUUGCGCGAUUGAAUGAGCCGAUGUCGGAUUAGCUAGUUGGCGGGGUAAAGGCCCACCAAGGCGACGAUCCGUAGCUGGUCUGAGAGGAUGAACCGCCAACCUGGAAACGGAGCACGGGCCCAACUCCCUAGGGGGGGAGGAGGGGGGAAAAUUGGGAAAUGGGGGGAAAGCCGAUCCCGGCCAACCCGGGGGGGUGAAGAAGGCUUCCGGUUGGAAAAGCCUUUUGGUGGGGAAAAAAAGGCGGAAGGUAAAUACCCGGUGGUCCGACGGGAACCAAAAGAAUAAGCACCGGCAACUUCGUU